UACGUAGGUGGCGAACGUUGUCCGGAUUUACUGGGCGUAAAGCGCGCGCAGGCGGACCGAUAAGUCAGAGGUGAAAUCUCCCGGCUCAACUGGGAGGGGCCCUUUGAUACUGUCGGUCUUGAGAUGCCUAGAGGGGGGUGGAAUUCCCGGUGUAGUGGUGAAAUGCGUAGAUAUCAGGAGGAACACCUGCGGUGUAGACGGCUUUCUGGACCAUUGUUGACGCUGAGACACGAAAGCGUGGGUAGCAAACAGG
rnacentral:rRNA from 1 species